rnacentral:rRNA from 1 species
GGCUUUUUGAAUAUAAUUUAAAGUCUGACCUGCCCAAUGAUAAUAUUAAAUGGCCGCGGUAUUUUGACCGUGCAAAGGUAGCAUAAUCAUUAGUUUCUUAAUUGGAAGCUUGUAUGAAGGGUUUAAUGAGAAAAGAGCUGUCUCUACUUAAAUUUUUAAGAAAUUUAUUUUUAAGUUAAAAAGCUUAAAUAAAUAUUAAAGACGAGAAGACCCUAUAGAGUUUUAUAUUUUUGUAGAAUUAUUGAGUUUUAGGAUUUUUUAAUAGUUUUUAGAAUUAUUUGGUUGGGGUGAUCGGAAAAUUGGUUAAACUUUUUUGUGAAUUGUUUCACUGAUUUGUGAGUUUUUGAUCUUUAUAAAAGAUAAACAGAUAAAAUUACCUUAGGGAUAACAGCGUAAUUUUUUUUAGAGUUCUUAUCAAAAGGAAAGGUUGCGACCUCGAUGUUGGAUUAAAAUUAAUUAUUGGUGUAGAAGCUAAUAAGUUAGGUCUGUUCGACCUUUAAAUUUUUACAUGAUCUGAGUUUAAACCGGUGUGAG